GGGUGAUUAGCUCAGUUGGCAGAGCAUCUUCCUUACAAGGAGAGGGUCGGCGGUUCGAAUCCGUCAUUACCCA
rnacentral:tRNA from 1 species